rnacentral:misc_RNA from 1 species
UUCACAGGGCUGUCCCUUCCAUUGAAAG